AAGGAAAUAAUUUAAUUGGUAAAAUAUUAGUCUCCAAAACUAAUUUUAAAGGUUCAAUUCCUUUUUUCCUUG
rnacentral:tRNA from 3 species